rnacentral:rRNA from 1 species
GGGGGGGUAAGCGUUGUUCGGAAUUACUGGGCGUAAAGGGCUCGUAGGCGGCCAACUAAGUCAGACGUGAAAUCCCUCAGCUCAACUGGGGAACUGCGUCUGAUACUGGAUGGCUUGGAUUUGGGAGAGGGAUGCGGAAUUCCAGGUGUAGCGGUGAAAUGCGUAGAUAUCUGGAGGAACACCGGUGGCGAAGGCGGCAUCCUGGACCAACAUUGACGCUGAGGAGCGAAAGCCAGGGGAGCAAACGGGAUUAGAUACCCCGGUAGUCCUGGCCCUAAACGAUGAAUGCUUGGUGUGGCGGGUAUCGAUCCCUGCCGUGCCGAAGCUAACGCAUUAAGCAUUCCGCCUGGGGAGUACGGUCGCAAGGCUG